rnacentral:rRNA from 1 species
AUGGCGAAGCUGGGGCUAGCAGUAGGCACGUCGGCGAGGUUCUCCUGCUUCUUCUCCAACAAGAGCGACGCGGGCUCGGGGAGAGCCACGCGCCUCGGAUGGAUCCUCUUCCCUGCAAAUCCUAGGUGCAGCAGUUUGGCGACGAGAUGGACCGCGGCCGCGGCCGCGGCGGUGGAGGCCCCGCCGAGAAGCGUCGACAUGGGGUGCGCGCCGGUGCCGCGGGAGCAGGUGGAGAUCGUGCAGUCGCUGAACGGCUGGGUGGCGGAGAACAUGCUCCCGCUGCUCAACCCUGUGGAGUCCUCGUGGCAGCCGCACGACUUCCUGCCGUGCUCCGUCGCGGCACCCGGCGCGUCGGAGGAGGAGGCCCUGUCCGCCUUCACGGAGGGCGUGGCUGCGCUGCGCAUGGGAGCCGCCGGCGUGCCUGACGAGAUCCUGGUCUGCCUGGUGGGUAAUAUGGUGACGGAAGAGGCGCUGCCGUCGUACCAGAGCAUGGGGAACCGCACGGAGGGCACCGCGGAUGACACCGGCGCCAGCAGCCUCCCCUGGGCGCAGUGGAUCCGCGGCUGGACGGCCGAGGAGAACCGCCACGGCGACCUCCUCAACCGCUACCUCUACCUCUCCGGCCGCGUCGACAUGCGCCAGGUCGAGACCACCGUCCACCACCUCCUCCGCAACGGCAUGGAAAUGCUGGUGCCCAAGAGCCCGUACCACAGCGUGAUCUACGGCGCGUUCCAGGAGCGCGCGACCUUCGUCUCCCACGUGCACACGGCGAGGCUCGCCGGGCAGCACGGCGACCAGGCGCUCGCCAAGAUCUGCGGCGUGAUUGCCGCCGACGAGAAGAGGCACGAGGCGGGCUACACCAGGGUGUGCGCCAAGCUCUUCGAGGUGGACCCCGACGGCAUGGUGCGCGCGCUGGCGCACGUCAUGCGCGGCAAGGUCACCAUGCCGGGGCUGCUCAUGUCCGACGGCCGCGACGCCGAUGGCAGCCUGUUCGAGCGAUUCUCCGCCGUGGCGCAGCGUGCCGGCGUGUACACGGCGAGGGACUACGGCGAUCUGGUGGAGCACUUCGUGCGCAGGUGGCGGGUGGCAGAGCUCGCCGGACUCUCUGGAGAGGGCCGCCGCGCGCAGGAAUACGUGUGCGGGCUCCCGCCCAAGAUACGGAGGAUGGAGGAGCUGGCACACCAGAGGGCGGCCCGUAGCGAGCUCAGGCCGGCCCGCUUCAGUUGGAUCUUCGAUAGGCACGUCAUGGUGGGCUGA